UACGGAAGGCAGCAGUGGGGAAUAUUGCACAAUGGGCGCAAGCCUGAUGCAGCCAUGCCGCGUGUAUGAAAAAGGCCUUCGGGUUGUAAAGUACUUUCAGUCGUGAGGAAGGUGUUAAGGUUAAUAACCUUAGCAAUUGACGUUAGCGACAGAAGAAGCACCGGCUAACUCCGUGCCAGCAGCCGCGGUAAUACGGAGGGUGCGAGCGUUAAUCGGAAUUACUGGGCGUAAAGGGCACGCAGGCGGUUAAUUAAGUUGGAUGUGAAAUCCCCGGGCUUAACCUGGGAAUGGCAUUCAAGACUGGUUAGCUAGGGUCUUGUAGAGGGGGUAGAAUUCCAUGUGUAGCGGUGAAAUGCGUAGAGAUGUGGAGGAAUACCGGUGGCGAAGGCGGCCCCUGGACAAAGACUGACGCUCAUGUGCGAAAGCGUGGGGAGCAAACAGGGAUUAGAUACC
rnacentral:rRNA from 1 species